UCCCUUAAAUAGGUCUGAACGCCCCCAAACCCUUAGAGACUCUUUCAUUCCCUUAUCUCUCUCACCCUAACUAAACCCUAGCCGCCUAGGAUUCCUCAGCCUUUCUCCACCAUUCUCCGCCGUCCGAAAAUCGCCUCACGACGGCGGACCACUCCCAAACCCAACCAAAUCACUACUUCAUACUCCUCACCUCACCCUCGUCAUCAAUCCACCAUCAAUUUUUCCCAAAACCCCACCGAAUUCCUCUAAAUUCAAAUCUAAAAAACAGAAACCCUAACUUUUUCACCUUUUUUGAUUUUUUUUUGAGUUUUCGAGACUCGAUUUGAUCAAAACCUACGCUAGUUGAUUGUUUUCAGCGAGAACGAUUGAUUAGAGUCAUUUUUGGUCUAUUUCGAAGCUCGCCCGAUUCCAACCCAGUCAACACCGACCGGCCAAACCUCGAUGCUUUCAUCGCUCGUCGAUUCAGCUUCCAGCAAAAAUCAGUAUCUUUCUCUUUUCCCGUUAUCUCCGUUUUUUAUUUUUUUAUGUUAUCACUUAGGUUUUGGUUUUAUCUUUGUUUUUGUUUGUUUUGUUCUUCAUUACUGCGUGUUUAAUUAAAAAUGGGAUUAGUUUUUAAAUUAUUUUUAUGAUUAUCUAGUUAGCCGCAUUGUUAGUUAGUUUAACCAUAUUUUGUUUAGCUUAAUCAACCUUAGUUAGCUCAGUAAUUUACUUAGGUUUAAUUAAUGAAUCAUUUCUGUUUGGUUUGUUUACAAUGUUUCCUGCCUCAAUUAGUUGCUUAGUAAUGUUUUGAACACACAUUUGGAAACUGUAUGGGUGAAAAGGGUAAUAGCAAGAACUUAAAGGGGUCAAUUGGGCAGUUAAGAAAUGAAGAAAUUUCAGAUAAAAUAUCAGAAGCUUUUAGUAUUAGACAACUGUCCAUUUUUAGUGUUAAAAAGAUGCUGAAAAUUGGAUAAAAGGAUAGAUGUACUAAAAUCUGUUAAAAAGAUGCUUUCUUAUCCCUUUUUACAGCUGACAUCUCUGAAAUCCAUGUUGGAAUAUUCUCUAUAAGACCCUCUCUCAUUCAUAUCCUUUUGCAUUCCUACACUCUAUAUAAAGGACCUCACACUCACUCACACAUACACAUUAUCAUCAGCAUACUUACUCUAAAAUGCAUCCCUGAAUACUGAUUUUUAUUCUCUCUCGAGCUUUUUUUUCCAUAUCAGAUAUAGAAACAGGAAAAAAAUUCUCAAGGCUAUCUUUCCUUUUCUCCAUUUUCCUACUGGUUUACUCCAUUUAUGCUAGGAAUUCGAGUUUGAUUGUGGGUUUCUGGUUCUUUCUGGCUGUUGUUGCUGUUUUUAACUACUUGUAGUGUUUUACUUCUUCUCCAAAGCCAGAUAUUUAUUUUCUAUUUUUGUCUAUCUUGCUGUAAUCAGGUACUCACCUUAAAUCUGAGUUUUGUUUUGGCAUGGAUUAGUCAAUUUCUUUAUUAUUCCAUGAAAUCCUAAUUUUCCAUCACCAUUUGCUAAUUUUCUUAUGUUUAGUAUGUUAAUUAGUAGAUCUUGAUUUAGUUAAACUUAUGUGUGGUUUCUAUUUAUUUGGUGUUUUGAAAUGAAGAAAGCCAGAAUUCUUUGCUCUACUAUUUGGUCACUUGAACUGUUAUGGUUAUCUUGGGAGCUGUUGAAAUUAUCUCAUGUUUAGCUCGGUUAUGUUGUAAUUCCGAGUUUAUUUCUGAGUUAAUAUUCCAUGUUGUAAACUAGCUGAUUAUAAAUUGGAUGGUGACCGAGAUUGUUUAACUCUAAAUAUUAGUUUAAAUAGCUAUUAACAAUACCUGGAGCAUGUCGUGUAAGUUGUUAAAUUUUUGUUUUAAAUUUGAAUACAGUUUCAGCCUUGUUUAAACCAUGCAGAUUCAGUAUCAGUUCAAAAAGGCUUUACUGUAGUGUUGGUUUGUUGAAGUAUGUGGAUUUGUGUUGAGUUUGGAAUGUAAAGAGAUGGUUUAUUACUGAAUGCAUGGUUAUGGCUUGCUGAUCUGACCACCAGUUGGGUCAGAUUGGUGAACUCUAAGGCUAAAGGGUGGAUUUGGAGUUAUCUAUAGAGGGAGGUUAAGCAUAAGAUCGAUUAUGUUUUGUUCAGUUUAGUCAUAAUUAUAAACAAUCCAUGUAUAUAUGUUUAAGGAUUUAUGUCUAUUACCAUUAUUGAUAAUGAUAUUAUAAUUCGCCAGAUUUGUAAAUGUUAGAAUGUAAUCAGUUUGUUUUGCUUUAGAUCGAUUUAAAUAGUUCAGUUGUCCAUCUAUACCAUUCUUAGCAUUUAUUCU
rnacentral:lncRNA from 1 species